ACGGGUGAGUAACGCGUAUGCAACCUACCUAGUCAGAGGGGAAUAACCCGGCGAAAGUCGGACUAAUACCGCAUAAAACAGGGGCACCGCAUGGUGAUAUUGUUAAAGAAAUUCGCUGAUAGAUGGGCAUGCGUUCCAUUAGGUAGUUGGUGAGGUAACGGCUCACCAAGCCGACGAUGGAUAGGGGAACUGAGAGGUUGGUCCCCCACACUGGUACUGAGACACGGACCAGACUCCUACGGGAGGCAGCAGUGAGGAAUAUUGGUCAAUGGGCGGGAGCCUGAACCAGCCAAGUCGCGUGAAAAGGAAGAAGGAUCUAUGGUUCGUAAAACUUCUUUUGCAGGGGAAUAAAGUGCAGGACGUGUCCUGUUUUGUAUGUACCCUGAGAAUAAGGAUCGGCUAACUCCGUGCCAGCCGCAGC
rnacentral:rRNA from 1 species